rnacentral:rRNA from 1 species
AUUGAACGCUGGCGGCAUGCCUAACACAUGCAAGUCGAACGCGAAAGGGCUUCGGCCCUGAGUAGAGUGGCGUCCGGGUGAGUAACGCGUGGGUAAUCUACCUUCGGGUCGGGGAAGUAACCAGUCGAAAGGCUGGCUAAUACCGCAUAAUGCAGCGGCACGACAUCGUGACAGUUGUUAAAGGAGCAAUCCGCCUGAAGAGGAGCCUGCGUCUGAUUA